rnacentral:rRNA from 1 species
UACGAAGGGGGCUAGCGUUGCUCGGAAUCACUGGGCGUAAAGCGCACGUAGGCGGAUCUUUAAGUCAGGGGUGAAAUCCUGGAGCUCAACUCCAGAACUGCCUUUGAUACUGGGGAUCUCGAGUCCGGAAGAGGUGAGUGGAACUCCGAGUGUAGAGGUGAAAUUCGUAGAUAUUCGGAAGAACACCAGUGGCGAAGGCGGCUCUCUGGGACGGUACUGACGCUGAGACGCGAAAGCGUGGGGAGCGAACAGG